GCAAAUUGUUGUUAACUGAUGUUAAUAAAGUGUAGGGGUGAGUAUUUUAAAUAAGAAACACUAUAGACUUCGGAAAUAGAAGAUAUUAAGAAAGGAAAUUUUCUACUAUAGAAUUCGAUUUAAAUCGAUUAGGUAGUUGAUAGGGUAAAGGCCUACCAAGCCCACAAUCGAAAGCCAAGUUUGACAGAUCAUAUGGCCACAUUGGGAAUGAAAUAUCCCAAGUAGAGAACUCUACCAGCAGUCGAGAAUAUUAGUCAAUGCUCGCAAGAGUGAACUAGCUAACUGGAAUCAUGAGUGUGUCACUCGUGAAUUGUAUAAGGAAAAAUAAUGAUGUCACUUUUACAAAUAGUGUUGUCCAAAACUGGUGCCAGAAGACUCGGUAAGGCCAGAGACGCAAGCGUUAAUCAUCCUGAUCAGGCGUAAAGGGUUUGUAGGCAGCUUUAAAUUAAUUAAAGAUUGAAUCAUAUAGAAGUCAAGAGAAUUAGUGGAUUAGGGUUGAUAUCCGUAUAAACUAUUAAGAAUUCUAAUUAGCGAAGGCACUUUUCUAUCUACUGAUUGACGCUGAGAAACGAAGGGGAGGAAACAAAACAGGAUUAGAUACCCUAAUAUCCCUCUCUGUAAACGAUGAAUGGUAGUUGCUAGUAAUAAUAAUUAGUGACGAGGCUAACGCGUUAACCAUUCCGCCUUGUGAGUACGACUGCAAAGUUGAAAACAAAAAAAUUAGUCGGUUUCGGGAGCAAACGAAGUGAAGCAUGUUAUUUAAUUCGAUAAUCCGC
rnacentral:rRNA from 1 species